ACGGGAGGCAGCAGUGAGGAAUAUUGGUCAAUGGGCGGAAGCCUGAACCAGCCAAGUCGCGUGAAGGAUGAAGGUAUUUUGUAUUGUAAACUUCUUUAGUCGCAGGGAAAUAAGGCGGACGCGUCCGCUGAUGCUAGUAUGCGAAGAAUAAGGAUCGGCUAACUCCGUGCCAGCAGCCGCGGUAAUACGGAGGAUCCGAGCGUUAUCCGGAUUUAUUGGGUUUAAAGGGUGCGCAGGCGGUCUUUUAAGUAAGUGGUCAAAGCGUGGGGCUCAACCCCAUCCCGCCAUUGAUACUGGAGGACUUGAUUGCGGUCGAGGUUGGCGGAAUUCGUCGUGUAGCGGUGAAAUGCAUAGAUAUGACGAAGAACACCGAUUGCGUAGGCAGCUGACCAGGCCGUAAAUGACGCUCAUGCACGAAAGUGCGGGGAUCGAACAGGAUUAGAUACCCUGGUA
rnacentral:rRNA from 1 species